rnacentral:rRNA from 1 species
GAUGAACGCUAGCGGCAGGCCUAAUACAUGCAAGUCGAGGGGUAGAGGAAGCUUGCUUUCUUGAGACCGGCGCACGGGUGCGUAACGCGUAUGCAACCUACCCUUAUCAGGGGGAUAACCCGGAGAAAUCCGGAUUAACACCGCAUAAAAUCACAGAACAGCAUUGUUUCAUGAUCAAAUAUUUAUAGGAUAAAGAUGGGCAUGCGUGCCAUUAGCUAGUUGGCGGGGUAACGGCCCACCAAGGCGACGAUGGCGAGGGGCUCUGAGGGGAGAAUCCCCCACACUGGUACUGAGACACGGACCAGACUCCUACGGGAGGCAGCAGUAAGGAAUAUUGGUCAAUGGGGCAACCCUGAACCAGCCAUGCCGCGUGCAGGAAGACUGCCCUAUGGGUUGUAAACUGCUUUUGUACGGGAAUAACCACUGGUAUGUAUACCAGCCUGAAUGUACCGUAAGAAUAAGGAUCGGCUAACUCCGUGCCAGCAGCCGCCGUAAUAC